UAUUUUUCUGCUGUGCCUGUGUGAGUGGUCAGCAAUGUCUUUAUCUACCAGGCACCAGUAAACACUUUAGUUGUUUCCAUAGUUUAUUAUGAAUAAUUUUGUUAUAAACGUGUAGGUGCAGACAUCUUUUCAAGUUAGUGUUUUUGUUUUCUUUGAAUACAUAGCCAAAAGUGGGAGUGCUGAGUCAAAUGCUAGGUCUAGUCUUAAAAUUUUGAGGACCCUCCAUCCUGUUCUCCACAGUGGCUGCACCAGUUUGCAUUCCCACCAACAGAGCACGACGGGUCCCUCUUCUCUGCUUCCUUGCCAAUGCCUGUUAACAAUUUCUGAUCCUAACAGAUUUUAAAAAUCACCACCAAGACCAACGUCGAGGAGCUUACCACCUAUAUAUUCUUCUACGAGUAUUAUGGUUUGGGGUCUUACAUUCAAGUCUUUAAUCCAUUUUGAGUUAUUUUUGUGUACCGUAUAAGAUAGUGGUCCAGUGUCACUGUUCUGCAUGUGGCUGUCCACUUUUGCCAGCAUUUUUCGAAGAGAUUGUCCUUUCCUCAUUAUACAUUCCUGACUCCUUUGCUGUAAUUAAUUGGCUAUACACACACACACACACACACACACACACACAGUUUUAUUCCUGGGCUCAUUGGUCUGUGUCCCUUUUUAUGCCAAUACCAUACUAUUUUAAUUACUAGAGCUUUGUAAUACAGUUUGAAAUCAGGAAGCAUGACACCUACAGCUUUGUUCUUUCUCAAGAUGGCUUUGGCUUUUCAGGGUCUUUUGUGGUUCCACACAAAUUUUAGGACUGUCUGUUCUAUUCCUGCGAAGAAUGCCUUUGGAAUAUUUAUAGGGAUUGCACUGAAUCUACAGAUUGUUUGGGUGGUGUGGACAUUUUAAUAUCUAAGUUUGUAACAAGAACUAACAUUUACCAAGGACCACAUGCCAAACAUUAAAAGCUUCACAUGCCCUUCUUAUGGGGCCUCUUAGCAACAUUAUUAGAGAGGUCCUUUCAUACUCUCCCUUUUUCAUUCAGGCAAAAGGAAGUUUGGCUCACUCACCCACUUAGUGGCUGAGUGAGGACUCUGUCCCCAUGGGCCAGACUGUCCAGCCUCUAUGGCAACCUCACGGACAAAACAAAAUUUGCUUUCAGAAUCAUGACCCAGACAAACUGCAAGAUUCUCAGUCACACAAAAAGACUGAAGCUCGUUCACUGGGUAUUGCUUUCCUGUAACACAAAUAACAGCAGAGUUCAUACCUUUAACAAGGACUUUCAAAGAUUACCAGCAGAUGGUUGAAAGGGGAACAUUCUCCGUGUUCAAGAUAAACAAGGUUUUAUAGCAACCCACUUCCCAGUCACAGACUCCAAGACUAGGCUUCCUUAUAACCUAUGCCAGGUUCCCCCUCUUUACAUUUGUGCAAAUUUGUAUAAUUUUCAUCUCCAUUAGGCUCUGGUGGCCCAUAAACUUUUAAAGAUGAUUAAGGUUCCUAGUUAAAUCUUAACAUUAAACCCUAUGCCUCCAAUUAAA